GAGUUUGAUCCUGGCUCAGAUUGAACGCUGGCGGCAUGCCUUACACAUGCAAGUCGAACGGCAGCACGGGAGCUUGCUCCUGGUGGGCGAGUGGCGAACGGGUGAGUAAUGCAUCGGAACGUAUCCUGGAGUGGGGGAUAACGUAGCGAAAGUUACGCUAAUACCGCAUAUUCUGUGAGCAGGAAAGCGGGGGACCUUCGGGCCUCGCGCUCUUGGAGCGGCCGAUGUCGGAUUAGCUAGUUGUGAGGUAAAGGCUCACCAAGGCGACGAUCCGUAGCAGGUCUGAGAGGAUGAUCUGCCACACUGGAACUGAGACACGGUCAGACUCCUACGGGAGGCAGCAGUGGG
rnacentral:rRNA from 1 species